GACGAAUGCUGGCGGCGUGCUUAACACAUGCAAGUCGAACGAAGUGGCGCACGGGUGAGUAACGCGUAAUCAACCUGCCCUUCAGUGGGGGACAACAGUGGGAAACGACUGCUAAUACCGCAUACUGAAGGAGGGGAUUGCGUCUGAUUAGCUGGUUGGAGGGGUAACGGCCCACCAAGGCGAUGAUCAGUAGCCGGUGUGAGAGAAGGAACGGCCAUAUUUGGACUGAGAAACGGCCCAGACUCCUACGGGGAGGAGCAGUGGGGAAUCUUCCGCAAUGGAAGAAAGUCUGACGGAGCAACGCCGCGUGAGUGAUGACGGCCGUCGGGUUGUAAAGCUCUGUUAAUCGGGACGCGGUACCGGAAUAGAAAGCCACGGCUAACUACGUGCCAGCCGCCGCGGUAAUAC
rnacentral:rRNA from 1 species